rnacentral:rRNA from 1 species
GGAUGAACGCUAGCUACAGGCUUAACACAUGCAAUUCGAGGGGCAGCAUGAAUCUACUUCGGUAGAUUUGAUGGCGACCGGCGCACGGGUGCGUAACGCGUAUCCAACCUUCCCGUUACUCCGGGAUAGCCUUCCGAAAGGGAGAUUAAUACCGGAUGGUGUUUGAAGUCCGCAUGAAAUUCAAACUAAAGAUUUAUCGGUAACGGAUGGGGAUGCGUACCAUUAGAUAGUAGGCGGGGUAACGGCCCACCUAGUCUACGAUGGUUAGGGGUUCUGAGAGGAAGGUCCCCCACACUGGAACUGAGACACGGUCCAGACUCCUACGGGAGGCAGCAGUGAGGAAUAUUGGUCAAUGGCCGUAAGGCUGAACCAGCCAAGUAGCGUGAAGGAUGAAGGUUCUAUGGAUUGUAAACUUCUUUUAUACGGGAAUAACACCAUCUACGUGUAGAUGCCUGCAUGUACCGUAUGAAUAAGCAUCGGCUAAUUCCGUGCCAGCAGCCGCGGUAAUACGGAGGAUGCGAGCGUUAUCCGGAUUUAUUGCGUUUAAAGGGAGCGUAGACGGGAUGUUAAGCCAGUUGGGAAAUGCUGGGUUUCACCCAUAGCACUCCAGUUGAUACUGGGCGUUCUGGAGUGGGUAUGAGGUAUGUGGAAUUCGUGGUGUAGCGGUAAAAUGCUUAGAUAUCACGAAGAACUCCGAUGGCGAGGGCAGCGUACCAAUCCGUAACUGACGUUGAUGCUCGAAAGUGUGGGUAUCAAACAGGAUUAGAUACCUGGGUAGUCCACACGGUAAACGAUGGAUACUCGCUGUUGGCGAUAUAUUGUCAGCGGCCAAGUGAAAACGUUAAGUAUCCCACCUGGGGAGUACGCCGGCAACGGUGAAACUCAAAGGAAUUGACGGGGGCCCGCACAAGCGGAGGAACAUGUGGUUUAAUUCGAUGAUACGCGAGGAACCUUACCCGGGCUUAAAUUGCAUCUGACAGGUCAGGAGACUGACUCUUCUUCGGACAGAUGUGAAGGUGCUGCAUGGUUGUCGUCAGCUCGUGCCGUGAGGUGUCGGCUUAAGUGCCAUAACGAGCGCAACCCUUGCUUCCAGUUGCCAUCAGGUGAUGCUGGGGACUCUGGAAGGACUGCCAUCGUAAGAUGUGAGGAAGGUGGGGAUGACGUCAAAUCAGCACGGCCCUUACGUCCGGGGCUGCACACGUGUUACAAUGGGGGGUACAGCAGGCUGCUACCGGGCGACCGGAUGCCAAUCCCUAAAACCCCUCUCAGUUCGGACUGGAGUCUGCAACCCGACUCCACGAAGCUGGAUUCAAUAGUAAUCGCGCAUCAGCCACGGCGCGGUGAAUAC